rnacentral:rRNA from 1 species
GUAGUCUCGCACAGAUGCAUAUCAAUAAGCGGAGGAAAAGAAACUAACAAGGAUUCCCCUAGUAACGGCGAGUGAAGCGGGAAGAGCUCAAAUUUGAAAUCUUAAAGGGUUUCCCUUUACGAAUUGUAGUUUAAAGAAGUGUUUUCUGUUGAGGUUUUGGUAAAAGUUCUUUGGAAUAGGACAUCAUAGAGGGUGAGAAUCCCGUAUUUGACCUUUACUUUCAACUUUGUGAUACACUUUCAAAGAGUCGGAUUGUUUGGGAAUGCAGUCCAAAAUGGGUGGUAAAUUUCAUCUAAAGCUAUAAUAUUGGCGAGAGACCGAUAGCGAACAAGUACCGUGAGGGAAAGAUGAAAAGAACUUUGAAAAGAGAGUUAAACAGUACGUGAAAUUGUCAAAAGGGAAGCGUUUGACACCAGUGUUGUUUUUCUGAAAAUCAAUUAAAGAACUGUUUAUGCUAAGCUGUUUAGACUUUAUCAGCUAACUGUUUAGUUUUGAGCUUUUCUUUAAUGCACUUUUCAGUUAACAAGUCAACAUCAAUUUCUUUUGCUGUAAAAAAGCUUGAGGAAGGUGGCUUGAGAUUCGUCUUAAGUGUUUAUAGCCUCUUGCCUAUGCAGUCGGAGAGAUUGAGGUCUGCAGCGUAGAUCCUUCGGGGCUAAAUGCAUUUGUGCUAAGUUAUAGCAUUUUAUAGACAACUUGUUGACUAUGAUUUGUCUUGUAGCUUACUCGCUUAUGUUAUUUUACCUACGCUUAGGAUGUUGAAGACUCUACAGAGAUA